CUGGCUCAGGAUGAACGCUAGCUACAGGCUUAACACAUGCAAGUCGAGGGGUAGCAGGGUAGCAAUACCGCUGACGACCGGCGCACGGGUGAGUAACACGUAUCCAACCUUCCAUAACUCAGGGAUAGCCUUUCGAAAGAAAGAUUAAUACCUGAUAGUACUUUUUCAAGGCAUCUUGAAAAAGUUAAAGAUUUAUUGGUUAUGGAUGGGAUGCGUUCCAUUAGAUAGUUGGUGAGGUAACGGCUCACCAAGUCUUCGAUGGAUAGGGGUUCUGAGAGGAAGGUCCCCCACAUUGGUACUGAGACACGGACCAAACUCCUACGGGAGGCAGCAGUGAGGAAUAUUGGUCAAUGGGCGAGAGCCUGAACCAGCCAAGUAGCGUGAAAAGGAUGAAGGUCCUAUGGAUUGUAAACUUCUUUUAUAGUAGAAUAAAGUGAGCCACGUGUGGUUUUUUGUAUGUAUACUAUGAAUAAGGAUCGGCUAACUCCGUGCCAGCCGCGGC
rnacentral:rRNA from 1 species